AUUCAAAGGCAAGGAUGGAGAACUAGAGAGAGUGCUUGCAUCAUUUCCUAAACGUCUGGUGACAAGACACAAUCAGGGCAUAGGGGAAGGAGGUCAACAGCCUGAAACUAUCAUCCAAGCAGGCCCUCAGCAGAGUGCUAGCCAACCAGAGUGCACAUGAAGAGGGGUCAGCUGGGAGCUUUGCUCCACUCCCCACCUCUCCUCUACAGAACCAAGGUUGACAAAGCAGCUUUCAUCUCGAAGGUAGAGGAAAAGAGAGUUGUACGUUUCUAAAUUGCAAAAGAAUAUUCUGACCUGGAAGAGCUCCAGAGCUUUGAUUAGGUAUGCGUGUGUGACUCAAUGAGCUCUAAAUGGAAGUCACUGAAUGGGACUUCAGGGAAAGCUACUUCAAAGAACUGUACCCAGAAAGCUUCUUCUACUUACCAGCUGAAAUGCAGAUGGACUUUAUUCCUGUUGGUGCAGCAGCCAC